ACGUCGGCAACGAGGAUACUCAAAGGAAUUGACGGGGGCCCGCACAAGCGGUGGAACAUGUUGGUUUAAUUCGAUGAUACGCGAGGAACCUUACCUGGGCUUAAAUGCAGAACGACGGUUCCCGAAAGGGAUCCUUCUUCGGACGGACUGCAAGGUGCUGCAUGGUUGUCGUCAGCUCGUGCCGUGAGGUGUCGGGUUAAGUCCCAUAACGAGCGCAACCCCUAUUGUUAGUUGCCAGCGAGUAAUGUCGGGGACUCUAACGAAACUGCCGGUGUAAACCGAGAGGAAGGUGGGGAUGACGUCAAAUCAGCACGGCCCUUAUGUCCAGGGCUACACACGUGUUACAAUGGUCGAUACAGAGAGAAGCUACUUGGCGACAAGAUGCUAAUCUCGAAAAUCGUUCUUAGUUUCGGAUUGGAGUCUGCAACUCGACUUCAUGAAGCUGGAAUCGCUAGUAAUCGCACAUCAGCCAUGGUGCGGUGAUACGUUCCCGGGCCUUGUACACACCGCCCGUCAAGCCAUGGAAGCCGGGGUACCUAAAGUCCGUAACCGAAAGGAGCGGCCU
rnacentral:rRNA from 1 species